rnacentral:rRNA from 1 species
UACGUAGGGGGCAAGCGUUGUCCGGAAUCACUGGGCGUAAAGCGCGCGCAGGCGGUCAUCUACGUCUGGGGUGAAAGCCCGGAGCUCAACUCCGGGAUUGCCUUGGAUACGGGAUGACUUGAGGAUCGGAGAGGCAAGGGGAAUUCCACGUGUAGCGGUGAAAUGCGUAGAGAUGUGGAGGAACACCUGUGGCGAAGGCGGCCUUCUGGACCAAUACUGACGCUCAUGCACGAACGCGUGGGGAGCAAACAGG